rnacentral:lncRNA from 1 species
AAGACAUGUCCCAGAGCAUUUUAUAACAAAAUACAUUAUUACAUUCUGUUUCUUAUUUCAGAUGAUGAGUUGCCUGAAGGAGGAUAAAUGGCUCAUAAAGUUCUCAAUGGUCUAAAAGCAGGACCAUCUGUUGAAGUCAUCAGUGACUUUGUGGCUAAGCUUAGCAGCUGGGAAACCUUCAACUCGUCAGCUCUUCUUUAAUCAGGUGCAUGGAAUUGAGGGAUGCAGUCAUUACCAUUAUCUAGAAACCCUUUCAAGGUGACAAUCAUAAUGGAAGAAUCUUCUUUUUCCAGAAACCAAUGUAACAAGGAUGAUUUGAAAAAGAAUAGCAGCAAAAAAUUAAAGCUGCUCUUGUUUGCCUGAGGACAGUUUUCUAUGAAUUUGCAUCAUGGUAAAUGUAUCCUUAAAGCAGAGAAACAAUGAAAUCAAACAGAGGAUUAGAAUUUGUUGUGGAAUGAGC